AUGGAGCAAUGGUACUGCCUAGAGCAGAUCAUUGAAAACACUUGUUUCCAGGAAUGUGAUGACUCCCUGGUCUGGCAAUAUGAAGCUAAGGGUGAAUACACCACGGGAUCACUAUACAUCAUCAUUAACUUUUGGGGGGUGCAACCAGUUUAUAUUCCCGCAGUUUGGUCUAUUAAAAUCCCACCUAGGGUGCAAGUCUUCCUCUGGUUGCUCUCUCACAAUAAACUCAUCACUAAAGAUAAUUUAGCUAAAAGAGGCAUUGAAAAAAACCCUGAUUGUGUCUACUGUACUGACAAAAAAACCAUUGAUCACCUUUUCUUUGGAUGUGUGGUGGCCAAGCAAAUCUGGAGGCAGGUCUCAAUUCUGCUCUCCAUUGAACUGGGUUCAGAUUAUCUCUCUAUUGCCAGAUUUUGGCCUGCCAACAAGAAACACACAGUGCUAAACUCUACAUGUGCAUGCAUUCUUUGGACUUUAUGGGAGAACAGAAAUGCCCAUGUUUUUAAUAAUGCUGUGUGGAUUGAUUUGAAACAGAUUUGGAGAAAGGUGCUGGAAACAAUGAGGAGAUGGACGAUCUUGCUCGGGGAAGAAGCGAUCCUGCAAUAGGAGAAGAUAGCAAGCCAGAUAUCAUUGAUUUUGGGAACCCCUUUCCAAAUCAUGGCAAGAUGA
rnacentral:rRNA from 1 species